UACAGAGGUGCCAAGCGUUUAGGCGGAAUCACUGGGCUUAAAGCGCGUGUAGGUGGGUCGUUAAGUGUCCGCGUGAAAUCCCACGGCUCAACCGUGGAACUGCCGGGCAUACUGGCGAUCUUGAGGCAUUCAGGGGCGAGCGGAACAAGCGGUGGAGCGGUGAAAUGCGUAGAUAUCGCUUGGAACGCCGACGGUGAAAACAGGUCGCUGGGAAUGUGCCGACGCUGAGACACGAAAGCCAGGGGAGCAAACGGG
rnacentral:rRNA from 1 species